rnacentral:lncRNA from 1 species
AUGUGCCCAAGGUCACACAGCCCAGGCAAGGGACCCACGCUGAAGGCUUCCUUGACACACAGACUCCCUAAGCCUGACCUCCGGGCCAGGCCACUCCCAUUUCAGAGCGAAGGUCCCCUCUCCCGGAAAGGCCGAGUCAGAGCUGUCUGCGGCCGGAGCCUGCUUCCCUGCGCUCCGCCUCCCCCUUCUAAGGCCGGGCCCUGGAGGAGGCGGCCGAGGGGCCUGCCGCCGCAGGUUGCUCACAAAGAGGGCCGUGGGGGCGGGGGCGACCACAGCGCGGCAGGCGCCACAGGAAGGGCCCCGCCCCUUCCUGUCAGUUCCACCAACGGCCCCAGCAGCUGUGCCUGCGCCAAGGGGAAGCUGCAACUCUCGAAAACAAAAACCCCAAAGGAGGAACUUCCCUGGCGGCCCUGGAAGACUGCUGGGCCCCCACCCCGCUUCAGGGGCCUCCCGGGGCGACAGGCAGGGGCUGGGAGACGCUGGGUCCCGGCCCUGCCGCCAGCAGCGGGGCUCGCUUGCUGCCCUAUGCUUCCCCCACGGUGGACGGGAGAUCGCUUGGCAGAGAGGGGGGCACAUAAAGGCGGCCCCAGGGGCCUCCUGCCCCCACCCCCUGGCCUGGCAGCCGGACCAGGAGGUGGGGCGGAUGCCCUGGGGUUGGCAGAGCCCCCACCAUACUCACCCAGCUUCUGGGAGAAGAUCUUCUCAAAGGUCACCUCACCCCGGUCCUCCAGGUACUUCUGCAUGACGCUGCGGAUGCUGGAAGACAGGGGGGCAGUGGUGACCCAGAGCCCCCAUGGCUCCCGCCAGGCCUGCUGGCCCUGCUCCCCUGGAGGGUUGCUGCUUCCUUCCCUGGAAUCCGGAGUGGAGAGCACUGCCGCUAGGGUGACCAGCAGGUGGCUGCUCAGAAGUCUGGUCCCAGCCCUGCCUCGUGCUAGCUUCAGGGAGUUGUCCGAACCUCAUAAGCCAGGCCUCAUCCAUCAGCAGAUGAUGGAUCACGAAAAUACAGCCCAUCCUCACAAUGGGAUGCUGCUUGACCAUGAAACGGAGUGA